rnacentral:rRNA from 1 species
CACGUUGGAACCUGCCCCGAAGUGGGGAAUAACUGCUCGAAAGAGUAGCUAAUACCCAUAGUAUCCGGUUUAUCCGGAUUAAAGAUUUAUCGGCUUCGGGAGGGGCCUGCGUCUGAUUAGCUUGUUGGUGGGGUAAAAGCUCACCAAGGCGACGAUCAGUAGCUGGUUCGAGAGGAUGACCAGCCACACUGGGACUGAGAUACGGCCCAGACUCCUACGGGAGGCAGCAGUGAGGAAUCUUCCACAAUGGACGAAAGUCUGAUGGAGCAAUACCGCGUGCAGGACGACGCUUUUCGGAGUGUAAACUGCUUUUGUCGUCGAAGAUUAUGACUGUAGACGAAGAAUAAGGACCGGCUAACUACGUG